rnacentral:rRNA from 1 species
GACGAACGCUGGCGGCGUGCUUAACACAUGCAAGUCGAACGGUGAAGCGCCUUCCUUUCUGCUGGGUGGGGAUGAGCGGCGAACGGGUGAGUAACACGUGAGUAACCUUCUCCCUUCUUCUGGAUAACCGCAUGAAAGUGUGGCUAACACGGGAUAUUCUGAGCCUCUCGCAUGAUUGGUGUGGGAAAGAUAUUGUUUCGGUUGGGGAUGGGUCCGCGCCCCAUUAGCUUGUUGGUGAGGUGACGGCCUACCAAGGCGGCGAUGAGUAGCCGGCCUGAGAGGGGGAUGGACGACACUGCAGGGGAGACACGGCGCAGACGCCUCCGGCGGGAGGCAGCAGGGAGGAUUAUGGAACGGUGGGAGGAAGGAUGGUGCAGCGACGCGGGGGGAGUGAUGGACUCCGUAGGGUUGUGAACCUUUAUCGGGAAAGAAGCAGUGCUGACUCGUUUGUGCGCGGCUUGACGGUAGCUGAAUAGGAAGCGACGGCUAACUACGUG